CCUUGGGCAUCAGAACCUCGACACUGGCGAGAAGAAUGCAGCGUGUGUUUGUCUUGCUGGUUGUGGUGCUGAUGGUGGCGGCGGCUGUGGUGUUGGGGGUCGACCCAGAGCACCACAGAGAUGAGAGGGCUCUUAAGCUCCUCAAGUUCGUCAAGGGACUCAAAGCUGGGACCCUGGGGCUAGUCAAAAUAGGAUGAUGGAGCAAAUGAUCCUUGGUGGCACCGUUACACUGUCUUUCAUCUAUAAUCCCCUUGACGUCAGAAUUACCUUGAAUAUGUUCCUGAUUGCUGUGUUUUAUUUACAAUAAACAGAACCAUAUUUUUA